rnacentral:lncRNA from 1 species
GUCACAUGCUUGCUUAUCCAUUUGUCACGACUACCAUAUAUGGUUAUGGAAGCAUAGCUUCAGUAGAAUAUCGGUCAUCUAUGUUAAGUUUAUACGUAUCGGUCCCAGGAGAUUUGGUUAUUCGGUUUUUCUUGGCUUUUGGUAUUGAAUGAACUCUUGACUUCAACAAUGGUGGUAAAAAUACAAUGCAAGGCAAUGAGAGAGCAUGCAUGCUGCAUGGAGGCAUAUUGAUUCUUAUUCAUAAACUAGCUAUAAUUUUGCUUCAUUCUCUGGUAUCACCAUGAAAUGUUGUUUGAAAAUUCUUUAAUUGGUUAGCAUCCUAUUCGUUGCUACCUGGCAUUAGUUCCAUUUGUCAUUCAUAGCACUAUCCCUUCCUAAGUUGUGUAUGAGCACAAUAUUGUAGGAAAUUAUACCCAACACCAUAUACACCAUGUAGUCGUGCACCAUUCCAAUCAUCUCGUUUCCUUCCAAUAGGCUUCAUCAAGUGCUCCUAUUAGUGAUUGGCCAUAGCAAAGAGAUAAAGUAAUUUUUACGGUAUAUGGCCAUAUUGAUGUAUGUGGUAUAGGAUAUAAUUUUUUAUAAUAUUAUUUUCUUCAUCUGACCCUG